CCAGACCUGAGUCAAGGCACAUUCAGACAUGGCCGCUCGACUCUGGCCCAUGUUCCUGCUGGCUAUCUUUAACCUAGGCAUCUUUGCCCCUCCCUGUGACACUGAAGAGUUACGAUGUCAGUGCAUUCAAAUAACGUCCGAGUCGAUCCCUUGCAAAUUCAUUAAAACCAUCGAGGUGAUAUACGAGAAUAUUUACUGCAACAGAAUGGAAGUGAUAGCAGUGCUAAGAGACGGGAAUGCAAUUUGUUUGCAUCCGAAUUCUACGUGCGUGAGGACUCUUAUCGACAACAUUCCUAGCAGACCUUUCAUACCUAAGGACUACGCAUCAGCGAACAAUCUACGUGGAAUGAAGUUUAUGUACAGUGUUGAGUUUGAAAAGCUCCUAUAUCUUUCAUUUAUGGAGCCUCAGGUCUAAAAUGAAUUCCCCUCUCAAAUUCUGGGGACCUCUAGCUGCUUUUCUGAUUAGCUUAUGACAAUGGUGAUGGGAUUUGAGGUGAUAAAACUAUUAUUAUAUAAAAAAGUAAACCCAAGUCUCACUUAAUAGGUGGGGCAUUUCUCUGUCAGGCUCACUGUCUGUCUAGACUCUAUCUCUUCUGCUGCUGGCUACUGUCUUUUCCUUUACUUGAUUUCCUGGUGGAUGCUCACAGAUGACUCUUCCCCCUGCCCCUCAUUUUGACAGGACGGAUAAUGGCGCCAUGCAGCCUUUUACUGACUGACAGACUACCCACAGGUUGCUUAACAUUUUGUGCUUCAAAGCCUUAUCCCACCCCAGGAUGGGAUGUUUCAAGGCUGCAUCUCAGCACAGAGCUGGGAUCCUCAACUCCCGUGCCCCAGAGUGAAACACUUCUUUUCAUUCGUCAGAAAAUCUGAAAUAAAACUGUGCUAAUUGAGACACAUUGGGAUAUGCAUGUAAUAUCAGCACUAGGGAAGUUAAGGCAAGAACAUCAUGAAUUCAAGGCUAGCCUGGAUUACAUAGUUGCAGACUAACUUGGGCUACAGGGAGACUGUGCUUAAAACACAAACAUGCACACACACACACACACACACACACACACACACACACACACACACACGUACCAGUGGUGGAUGGGUUGAUGAAGUGACAUCAAUUGUAUAGCAUAAAUAUUUUAAAAUUUAAAAUGUACUUUUCAUUUUUUAGUUUUU
rnacentral:lncRNA from 1 species